AGAUCAGUGAGGUUUAUCCUUACCUGUUAACUUAAAAAUAAGAUUACAGAAUAUGAUGAUUGGAUUCUAUGAAUUUGUGAUUAUAUUCCAUAUUCAUUUAGGGCUUGCAACUCCUUUAUGAAUCCUGUCUGAU